GAUGAACGCUGGCGGCGUGCCUAAUACAUGCAAGUCGAGCGAACAGACGAGGAGCUUGCUCCUUUGACGUUAGCGGCGGACGGGUGAGUAACACGUGGAUAACCUACCUAUAAGACUGGGAUAACUUCGGGAAACCGGAGCUAAUACCGGAUAACAUGUUGAACCGCAUGGUUCAACAGUGAAAGACGGUUUUGCUGUCACUUAUAGAUGGAUCCGCGCCGGAUUAGCUAGUUGGUAAGGUAACGGCUUACCAAGGCAACGAUGCGUAGCCGACCUGAGAGGGUGAUCAGCCACACUGGAACUGAGACACGGUCCAGACUCCUACGGGAGGCAGCAGUAGGGAAUCUUCCGCAAUGGGCGAAAGCCUGACGGAGCAACGCCGCGUGAGUGAAGAAGGUCUUCGGAUCGUAAAACUCUGUUAUUAGGGAAGAACAAAUGUGUAAGUAACUAUGCACGUCUUGACGGUACCUAAUCAGAAAGCCACGGCUAACUACGUG
rnacentral:rRNA from 1 species